rnacentral:rRNA from 1 species
UACGUAGGGUGCAAGCGUUUGUCCGGAAUUAUUGGGCGUAAAGGGCUCGUAGGCGGUCCAUCACGUCGGGAGUGAAAAGCUGGGGCUUAACCCCAGUCCUGCUUCCGAUACGGGUGGACUAGAGGUAGGUAGGGGAGAACGGAAUUCCUGGUGUAGCGGUGAAAUGCGCAGAUAUCAGGAGGAACACCGGUGGCGAAGGCGGUUCUCUGGGCCUUACCUGACGCUGAGGACGAAAGCGUGGGGAGCAAACAGG